rfam:Opisthorchis viverrini opera_v5_183.4, whole genome shotgun sequence.
AAAAAGGCUUUACUAAAAGCCAGAGAUAGUAAAAGUACGCCACUAU